ACGCUAUUUUUUUAUUGUUUAGAUUCACAUGUCUAUAUAUACUUAAUAUAGAGUAUCUGAUCUUGAUAACUGAAAACUCUUAUAUUGAUUAGGGAAAAUAUGCACCAGCUGGUGAAUCGACGACAUCAAUAUUUGUUCUCCAUCCACUAAUUCAUGGAGAUUCUAGGCGGAAGGUUGAAUUCAAGAGGUUAUACACUAUGAUGUUCAGAAAUUUAACACCUGGAGGACUUCAUUUUGAUCAAAACUUGGGGAAAAUGUUGAUGGACUAUCUACGGUCUUGAAUUAAGACAAUUUGAUGACAUUAGUUAGUUGAUUAAAACUGUGUACUUUUUCUGUAAUGUUGGAAUUAUGAAAUAAUGGAUUAGUGGUUGUUUUGUUUAUUGUGAAUUUUAAAUAGUACCUUUUAUAAUGAAUAUUAUUUGUUUUUGACCUUUGUAUAUCAUAAUUUGAAUUUAUUGCAAGUGAAUGUUGUAUUAGUUGCCUUUACAUCGUCCGCUAAAAGUCCUCUUUUCCGAUGAUAAAAGAGAGCAGUUCAAUGACCAUAACAAAAGACGCUAAAAUAUGGGUAAAUGUGUAUAUAGCAAAAUGUUUUAGUA